rnacentral:rRNA from 1 species
UACAGAGGGGGCAAGCGUUAUUCGGAAUUAUUGGGCGUAAAGGGCGCGUAGGCGGCCAUUCAAGUGACGGGUGAAAGCCCUCGGCUUAACCGAGGAACUGCCUGUCAGACUGGAUGGCUUGAGACCGGGAGAGGUGAGUGGAAUUCCCAGUGUAGCGGUGAAAUGCGUAGAUAUCAGGAGGAACACCGGUGGCGAAGGCGGGUCUCUGGGCAGUAACUGACGCUGAGGAACGAAAGCGUGGGUAGCAAACAGG